rnacentral:lncRNA from 1 species
GCCAACUUAACGAGAGCCUUCGGGGUUCAAGUUGUGAAGCUUACUGACUUGAAUGAGCUGUCUUGAUAUGUAAUGCGCAGUGUUCACAACAAGAUGGAUGUGGUGUGGGUGAUUUUCCUCGGGAGUCAGUACAUGGGACGCAAUGAGAAAGGAACCACAGGGAGACGUAUCUUGUAAAAACUGUGUUUACAAGCAGCUUUGUUGAGACCUCCAUUGACAUAGGAUCAACUCCACAGGUGGACAGUGACCAUUUGGUAAGUCUGGGUGUGUGUACACACUGUGAAAUCACCACCACGUGUGUACUAAUGGGUAGAGCGUAUGGGCUCCUUGUGGCUGCUGUAACAGAGGACCACAAACUCAGUGUGGAAAACAACGGUUCUGUCCCCUUAUGGUUCUGGGGGUCAGGCAUCUGGAAUGGACCUCGGAGGGUCAAAGUCAAGGGCUGCCCUCUCUUCUGGAAGCUCUAGGGGAGGAUCCAUUCCCUUUCCCUUCCCCGCUCCGACACGCCUCCUGCAUUCCUUGGUUUAGGCCCCUUCCUCCAUCUGCGAAGCCAACAGGGGUGGGGCUCUCUGACUGUUCUCGGUUGGCCCAUCUCUCUCUGACUCUGAGCUCUGUGUCCCCCCUUCUACGCUGCCGUGACAUCAGCCUGCCCAGGAGCUGGAUCUUAAUUGCUCUCCAAACUUGUUGACCUUAGGUAUUUCGUCACAGCAACGGAAAGCUGACUAACACAGGAACAAGUUACAGGUGCUGGGGAUGAAUCCAGGGGCAUUAGGUGGGGUGCUAUUCUAUUACUACAGUCAUCGCCCCCAAAACUUUCCUCACACCCCUUCUAAUUCUUCCCACCCAUCCCACCUCAUUGUCUUAUUCCCAAAUACUCACUGGUUUGCUCCUGUCACAUUUUCUUGAGCUUAUAAAAAUUAAGCCAUGUGGUCUAUAUCUUUCAUAUA